UUACGACUUUUUUCUCCCUAACAAUAAAAAUCUUUUUUUUUUUUAUCUUCAAUUGUGUAAAAUAAUUUUUUUUUAAAUUUAAAAUGCAAACGUAUUGCUUUUCAUAUAGAGUUCAACAAGCAACUGCGGCAAAUCCGAAAAGCCAUAAUACAAAAGACGAGCAUACGAACUUGAGAUUUUUCACUUUCCUUCGACAAAUCCUGGCGCACAGAAUGCAGAACGACAACAAAUAGAAGAUGAAGUUGAGGCAGCGGCAGAAGCUUGUAAAGUUCACGCUAAAUUUAAAGUAUACAAAAGAAAAAGCAAACGCAGGCCAGACCAGACCUGAACCAGACCCAGACCCAGGCCCAGGCCCAGCCCGAUAUGGCCCAGGAAACAUUUUAAAAUCCAACAUCAAGCCCGGAGGCACUGAAUUCGAUAUGCCUCCCCCCAGCAGAAUAAUCGUACUCCCCCAAUCUGCCCCCCGACUUGCUCUUAUGCUGAAUUGCAUUUUCGCAGAGACCGCAGACGACUGCAAUUGCUGCCGCCAAAUGGCUUUUAUGAAUGCUCCAGCAAAAAAAGCGAGAGAGAGCUAUGGCCAGGGCCAAGGUGAGCACAGGGAGUGAAAACCUGGAGAUGCUUUGCAGCUGCUGCCUUGGCUGCUGCUGAUAAGCGGAUACAACGUUAAGCAGCGCGUUCGAGUGGUUUUCUGAUAACAUGUAACACCCUUUAACAACCAAUAGUCCCAUUUAUGUUUAGCUAGAUCAAACUCAAUGUACAGAGCAGCAAUGAACAAUUGUUGUGGGGGGAAAAUCAAUAGUCGGACUCUUGGCAACUCGAAUGCGAAUUGUUGCAACACUCAUUCUACGCAGUUUGAAUGGGCUCUAAAAUGGACUCUCCAAUGUUAGCGCCAUGUCCAUGUCCAUGUCAUGUCAUGUUGUUAUUUCUAUUUUCCUUUUUUUUUUUGUUGCUGACCUGGCACUUGACAUGGUGGCUGCUUGUAAAGUGAAUCCUGCUGGCAUUCGGACUUCUUGUCGCCGCAAAUUAAAUGUGCAGGUUUCCCAACUCCAGUUCCUCCUACUCCUCUUUUUCAUUUCCUUUAGGAGCAAGCCCACAGUCAGCCCCUAGACAGGUUCUUAAGCCAAUUUUCCAUGCGGUUGGCCAACAAUUGUUGCGCUCUAUGGCACAAACAAUUUCUCUUUUAACGUAGAAUUGAACCUCUAUAAGUAUUCAUAAUUGGACCUGACCCGGCAGCUGGAGUCCUAUAAUUUUCUUGUGGCCAAUGGAAAAUGGGCUGGGUCACUAUAAUUGCGAGUGUGUGUGCGUUGAGUGUAUGCGUGUGUAAUAUUGAUUUAUAUAUGUGGUUGACUGGCGACAGUUAGGCAGCUCAUUAAUUUUGUGGUGGGUAACUUGUGGCAACCGCAACUCGACAAUAAUGCUCUUAUGGCAAAAGCAAUAUACGAAAAUCGAAUACGGUAUGGUUAACAAUUGGAAGUAUUAAUUGAUAAUAUGAGGGGAAGCUCAGUAAUGUAUAUCUG